AUGCCUCCUGUAAAUAAGGCGUGCCAAUCAACUGUGUGUCGUGCUGGCGACCGGGCUCGGAGCGCUCAUAUCGAAGGUGGCCGAGCACUGGUACGAGCUCUACAAGAUGGACAAGCAGGGGGCCAACCUCUGGUUCAUCUACUGGUGGGAGGACAAGGUCUCAGGGUUCUGAGGCUGCAGCCUGGGCACAGGUACUGCCUCCUCGGCCAGCUCUCCAAGGAGGUCGGAUGGAACUACGCCGACACCAUCAGGGUGAGCUAUUUCAUUGUGCUGUUUCUUCAGUGCUCGCUAGUUGCCAGUGUUAGACUGCUACCAGUGGGUUAA
rnacentral:rRNA from 1 species